AUUGAACGCUGGCGGCAGGCCUAACACAUGCAAGUCGAGCGGACGAAGGGAGCUUGCUCCUGGAUUCAGCGGCGGACGGGUGAGUAAUGCCUAGGAAUCUGCCUGGUAUUUGGGGAUAACGUCCGGACACGGGCGCUAAUACAGCAUACGUCCAGAGGGAGAAAGGGGGGGAUCUUCGGACCUCACGCUAUCAGAUGAGCCUAGGUCGGAUUAGCUAGUUGGUGGGGUAAGGGCCUACCAAGGCGACGAUCCGUAACUGGCCUGAGAGGAUGAUCAGUCACACUGGAACUGAGACACGGUCCAGACUCCUACGGGAGGCAGCAGUGGGGAAUAUUGGACAAAGGGCGAAAGCCUGAUCCAGCCAUGCCGCGUGUGUGAAGAAGGUCUUCGGAUUGUAAAGCACUUUAAGUUGGGAGGAAGGGCAGUAAGUUAAUACCUUGCUGUUUUGACGUUACCAACAGAAUAAGCACCGGCUAACUUCGUG
rnacentral:rRNA from 1 species